GUCGCCAUCGUCUAGUGGUUAGGACGCUGGAUUUUCAUUCCAGAAACAGGGGUUCGAUUCCCCUUGGCGAUGCCA
rnacentral:tRNA from 1 species